CAGCAGCCGCGGUAAAACGUAGGUCCCGAGCGUUGUCCGGACUUAUUGGGCGUAAAGCGAGCGCAGGCGGUUAGAUAAGUCUGAAGUUAAAGACUGUGGCUUAACCAUAGUACGCUUUGGAAACUGUUUAACCUGAGUGCAAGAGGGGAGAGUGGAAUUCCAUGUGUAGCGGUGAAAUGCGUAGAUAUAUGGAGGAACACCGGUGGCGAAAGCGGCUCUCUGGCUUGUAACUGACGCUGAGGCUCGAAAGCGUGGGGAGCAAACAGGAUUAGAUACCCGCGUAGUCCCUGUCUCUUAUACA
rnacentral:rRNA from 1 species